UUUACUAUUGGCGCCAACAGCUCUUCUCGUUUCUUUGUCUAGCCUCUCGUGUUGCCCGCACGUUCAGCCGGAGACGGACGAUACCGAAAAAGUGCAGACUCACUGUCUUGGCUCGCCCCUGCUACAAACAUUGAAAACUGUUCAAACAUAACUAAGCGAUUUAUCCCGACAAUCUGAGGAUUCGUGUAUGGAAUGCUAUUCUGUGUUACCGAGACAGUCAUCAGGUGAUCCAAAACAUGUUGAAAUUGAGGACAAUCAUCAUUUUUCCGAUUCCCCGAUACUUCACCACCGAGUGACAUAAUGGUGAGCGCACGUGCGGGUGUCCCUCAACUCUGGCAUCUAUCUAUGCAGUAUACAUAUUGCUACAAUAUAAUGUUUUCGUGGCGCUCUGGAACGACGCCACAUUGUUCGGAGCGGCCAAGCACUCUUCGUAAGUUGCUCUAGAACUGCAACCAAUCAACUGCAGUCAACCACGCUGCAAUGGGUCGGAUAAAGAUAGCGACCAAAAAAAUGAAUGGAUCAACUGAAAAACGAGCUUAAAAUGAAGGACGCAUACAGACACGGACGUUUAUCAUUGUCUGUCAACAUAGGCGCAUACAGACACCUCACAGUCACAUAGUUUACUAUGCUUCGUCGUGUCAUUGCAAUGUUCUUAUUUUAGCUUUCGUUAUUAGCAGACAAAAGGGCGUUGCUGAACAGGCCAGCACUGGAGUGGCAUGCUCCCGUCGUUUAUCGGCCUAUACCAAAACCCUUCUGCAGCGACUAUAGCCCCCCGCCUCCUCGUCCGAAUAACAUAAUCACUGCUUUUACAGAUUGAUAAUGUCACAGAGCAAACACAUCGAAUCUUGCAGUAAUGUCUCAAUGGGAAUUUCGGUAAGGGUAGGGGCGGAUAUCCAAAGGAAGCACCAAGACGUCAGCUAGUUCCAGUUUCGGGGCGUGUUCACCUUAUAUCGGUAAAACGUACUCUAUCAUAGAUAACUAGACCCGCUUGUGACGGUGGGCAAUUUACUGACCGCGGGUUUCGCCCAGUCUAACGUCGAUUUGGUAAUUCAAUGUCUGUAACACCAAACGAGCACUAAUACUACUUGGAAAUGAUCAGCUCUCUAGCAUCGACGAACGAUGCGGGAAAGGUGGCCGUUACUUGCACCAAGUAGUCGUAAACUUUCCGUGUUAUUAUCAUGCAGCAACAAAAAUUAACGGCAUUUUUUUUCCGUCAUGUUGUCGAAUCAGUGGCAGCAGA